UUGUGUUGCUUUGCUCCAAUUGCUGUUCCAGGUAAUUUUAAUUAGAGUGCUGUAAUUUGGAGCCCUGCACUGAUGAAUUGCAUCUGGCCCUGGGUCAGCAACAAGGACAGUUGCUCAGAAAACUGAAAUCUACAGCCUAAUGGCUUAAAGAAACACAGCGUGACCGAGAUGUUCUCACCUUCAGGAACACCAAAUGAAAUGGGCCUUUGGAGUUGUUCUGAUGGCUGAAUGUGUAACAGAUGUUGUAGAGGAAGAAAAGAAAUUAAACAUCUGUUGCAUGAAAAAUCUCAAGCAGAACUAAUAUGUAGUACUAGACAAAUCCAAAGUUUUACAUAGCACGGGAAAAAAA